rnacentral:rRNA from 1 species
AUGAACGCUGGCGGCGUGCCUAAUACAUGCAAGUCGAGCGAACGGACGAGAAGCUUGCUUCUCUGAUGUUAGCGGCGGACGGGUGAGUAACACGUGGAUAACCUACCUAUAAGACUGGGAUAACUUCGGGAAACCGGAGCUAAUACCGGAUAAUAUUUUGAACCGCAUGGUUCAAAAGUGAAAGACGGUCUUGCUGUCACUUAUAGAUGGAUCCGCGCUGCAUUAGCUAGUUGGUAAGGUAACGGCUUACCAAGGCAACGAGGCAUAGCCGACCUCAGAGGGUGAUAGGCCACACGGGAAGUGAGACAGGGUCCAGACUCCUACGGGAGGCAGCAGUAGGGAAUCUUACGCAAAGGGCGAAAGCCUGACGGAGCAACGCCGCGUGAGUGAUGAAGGUCUUCGGAUCGUAAAACUCUGUUAUUAGGGAAGAACAUAUGUGUAAGUAACUGUGCACAUAUUGACGGUACCUAAUCAGAAAGCCACGGCUAACUACGUG